UUAUGUGAUCGUCUCUCGCAUAUCAAUAAGCGGAGGAAAAGAAACUAACAAGGAUUCCCCCUAGUAACGGCGAGUGAAGCGGGAAGAGCUCAAAUUUGAAAUCUUAAAGGGUUUCCCUUUACGAAUUGUAGUUUAAAGAAGUGUUUUCUGUUGAGGUUUUGGUAAAAGUUCUUUGGAAUAGGACAUCAUAGAGGGUGAGAAUCCCGUAUUUGACCUUUACUUUCAACUUUGUGAUACACUUUCAAAGAGUCGGAUUGUUUAGGGAAUGCAGUCCAAAAUGGGUGGUAAAUUUCAUCUAAAGCUAAAUAUUGGCGAGAGACCGAUAGCGAACAAGUACCGUGAGGGAAGGAUGAAAAGAACUUUGAAAAGAGAGUUAAACAGUACGUGAAAUUGUCAAAAGGGAAGCGUUUGACACCAGUGUUGUUUUUCUGAAAAUCAAUUAAAGAACUGUUUAUGCUAAGUUGUUUAGACUUUAUCAGCUAACUGUUUAGUUUUGAGCUUUUCUUUAAUGCACUUUUCAGUUAACAAGUCAACAUCAAUUUCUUUUGCUGUAAAAAAGCUUGAGGAAGGUGGCUUGAGAUUCGUCUUAAGUGUUUAUAGCCUCUUGCCUAUGCAGUCGGAGAGAUUGAGGUCUGCAGCGUAGAUCCUUCGGGGCUAAAUGCAUUUGUGCUAAGUUAUAGCAUUUUAUAGACAACUUGUUGACUAUGAUUUGUCUUGUAGCUUACUCGCUUAUGUUAUUUUACCUACGCUUAGGAUGUUGAAGUCAUCGUAUCGCGC
rnacentral:rRNA from 1 species